AUUCCUUCUGACAUUGGAGAAUACCAGGAGUUAAUGACUCUGGACUUGAGUUUCAACAAUUUAACUGGUGAAAUCCCGAGUGCUUUGUUCAAUAUCAGUUCUCUUACUCACUUGUUUCUUGGAAACAAUAGUCUGUCGGGAAACAUUCCGAGCCAAAAAAGUGAAAAGCUUCAACCAUAGAUUUAUCAUACAUUAUCUAUCAGGAACUUUCCGU